AGUGAACGCUGGCGGUAGGCCUAACACAUGCAAGUCGAACGGCAGCACAGUAAGAGCUUGCUCUUACGGGUGGCGAGUGGCGGACGGGUGAGGAAUACAUCGGACUCUACUUUUUCGUGGGGGAUAACGUAGGGAAACUUACGCUAAUACCGCAUACGACCUACGGGUGACAGCAGGCGAUCUUCGGACCUUGCGCGAUUGAAUGAGCCGAUGUCGGAUUAGCUAGUUGGCGGGGUAAAGGCCCACCAAGGCGACGAUCCUUAGCUGGUCUGAGAGGAUGAUUAGCCACACGGGAACUGAGACACAGUCCAGACUCCGACGGGAGGCAGCAGUGGGGAAUAUUGGGCGAUGGGGGCAAGCCUGAUCCAGCCAUACCGCGUGGGUGAAGAAGGCGUUAGGGUGGUAAAGCCCUUUUGUUGGGAAAGAAAAGCAGCAGGUUAAGACCCCGCUGUUCUGACGGUACCCAAAGAAUAAGCACCGGCUAACUUCGUG
rnacentral:rRNA from 1 species